UAAUUAUUUUUUUAUGUGUCCCAUUUUAUUUUUUAAUGCAGCUUCCCAGAAGAUUAAAGGAGAAGACAUUUACAUAUGAUGUACUCAACAUUUCUUCUACAUUACCAGAUGUUUAAGAAUGCCAAACAUUCUUUUCAUUAUAUGCUGCCCAUCACUCAAGUGCGGUUCAAAGGCCAGUUCCUCCUUGAAGCCUCACUCUGUCUCCCCCGC
rnacentral:lncRNA from 1 species